rnacentral:rRNA from 1 species
CUACGGGAGGCAGCAGUGGGGAAUAUUGCGCAAUGGGCGGAAGCCUGACGCAGCAAUGCCGCGUGAGUGAAGAAGGCCUUCGGGUCGUAAAGCUCUUUAUCUUUGGGAAGAUGAUGACGGUACCAAAGGAAGAAGCACCGGCUAACUACGUGCCAGCAGCCGCGGUAAUACGUAGGGUGCAAGCGUUGUUCGGAAUCACUGGGCGUAAAGGGCGUGUAGGCGGAGUGGAUAGCUAGAGGUGAAAUCCCGGGGCUCAACCCUGGAGUGGCUUUUAGAACUGCCAUUCUUGAGAAGGUCAGAGGUUAGCGGAAUUCCUGGUGUAGCGGUGAAAUGCGUAGAUAUCAGGAGGAACACCGGUGGCGAAAGCGGCUAACUGGGGCCAUUCUGACGCUGAGGCGCGAAAGCGUGGGGAGCAAACAGGAUUAGAUACCCCCGUAGUC